rnacentral:lncRNA from 1 species
CAUUUUUGCAGGAUGCGAUUUCACACCCUGAAUGAAGAUGCCGAGAUUGGCCACUGGAGACAGAGACGUGGAGGCNUCUUUUUCNGUGGCUGAUUGCGGUGCUCUCCUCACACGCCUGGAAACCAGAUGCCUUGCCAGGUCAUAAUUUAUGCAAAGGAACACAGAAAACUGUUAACAAGUUUGGCUCAAGUCUAUGUCAGAAAAUGAUCCAGAAGUGGAGUUAACAGGAGGACGAANUCAGAGCGAUAAGUAAAAAGAAGCAAAACCCUUGCCUGCAGACCAGUGGGCAAAUGACCAGGNUUGGAGAAAGAGCUGGAUCAGGAGUUGAAGAGCUGAAGAGUUGGGUCUGAAUCAGAGAAACUCUGGUUAUGUUGCUUCAACAAAAGUGGUUCUAACUGAGGCAACAACAAGGGCAGCAGCACGGGGAUCUGAUGGUUUUGAUGGCACAAAAAGUCGCAAUAGAAGGUUUAUGGAGAAGAAUGGUCUACCUAUGUGAACAU